AGAGUUUGAUCAUGGCUCAGGAUGAACGCUAGCGGCAGGCUUAAUACAUGCAAGUCGAGGGGCAGCAGGGGCGUAGCAAUACGUUCGCUGGCGACCGGCAAACGGGUGCGGAACACGUACACAACCUUCCUUAAAGUGGGGGAUAGCCCGGGGAAACCCGGAUUAAUACCCCGUAACAUAAUGAAGUGGCAUCGCUUUAUUAUUAUAGCAGCAAUGCGCUUAAAGAUGGGUGUGCGACUGAUUAGGCAGUUGGCGGGGUAACGGCCCACCAAACCUACGAUCAGUAACUGGUGUGAGAGCACGACCAGUCACACGGGCACUGAGACACGGGCCCGACUCCUACGGGAGGCAGCAGUAAGGAAUAUUGGUCAAUGGACGCAAGUCUGAACCAGCCAUGCCGCGUGGAGGAUGAAGGUCCUCUGGAUUGUAAACUUCUUUUAUCUGGGAAGAAAUCCACAAAUUCUUUUGUGGUUGACGGUACCAGAUGAAUAAGCACCGGCUAACUCCGUGCCAGCAGCCGCGGUAAUACGGAGGGUGCAAGCGUUAUCCGGAUUCACUGGGUUUAAAGGGUGCGUAGGUGGGUUGGUAAGUCAGUGGUGAAAUCUCCAGGCUUAACUUGGAAACUGCCAUUGAUACUAUCAAUCUUGAAUACCGUGGAGGUCAGCGGAAUAUGUCAUGUAGCGGUGAAAUGCUUAGAGAUGACAUAGAACACCAAUUGCGAAGGCAGCUGGCUACGCGGAUAUUGACACUGAUGCACGAAAGCGUGGGGAUCAAACAGGAUUAGAUACCCUAGUAGUCC
rnacentral:rRNA from 1 species